rnacentral:rRNA from 1 species
CAACAGCUAUUAUUUACUUGAUUUUGAUAUCCUACGUGGAUAACUGUGGUAAUUCUAGAGCUAAUACAUGCACCAAAGCUCUGAUUCAUGAAGAGCGCAUUUAUUAGACUAAAACCAAUCGGGCGUAAGCUCGUGUUUUGGUGACUCUGAAUAGCUACAGCUGAUCGCAUGGUCAUGUACCGGCGACGUGUCUAUCAAGUGUCUGCCUUAUCAACUUUCGAUGGUAGUUUAUGUGCCUACCAUGGUUGUUACGGGUAACGGAGAAUAAGGGUUCGACUCCGGAGAGGGAGCCUGAGAAACGGCUACCACAUCCAAGGAAGGCAGCAGGCGCGCAAAUUACCCACUCUCGGCAUGAGGAGGUAGUGACGAAAAAUAACGAGACCGUUCUCAAUGAGGCCGGUUAUCGGAAUGAAUACAAUUUAAACCCGUUAAUGAGGAUCUAUGAGAGGGCAAGUCUGGUGCCAGCAGCCGCGGUAAUUCCAGCUCUCAAAGUGUAUAUCGUCAUUGCUGCGGUUAAAAAGCUCGUAGUUGGAUCUGCGCUUGAGGACUUGGUCCACCAUUUCGGUGCUGAACUGAGCUCCUCGGCUAUACAAUAUGCUGGUUUUCCUUACGUUGCCUUUACCGGUCGCGUAAGGUGGCUAGCGAGUUUACUUUGAAAAAAUUAGAGUGCUUAAAGCGGGCAAUAAAGUCUGAAUAUUUGUGCAUGGAAUAAUAGAAUAGGAUCUCGGCUCUAUUUUGUUGGUUUUCUGAUCUGAGAUAAUGGUUAAGAGGGACAGACGGGGGCAUUCGUAUCGCUGCGUGAGAGGUGAAAUUCUUGGACCGUAGCGAGACGCCCGACUGCGAAAGCAUUUGCCAAGAAUGUCUUCAUUAAUCAAGAACGAAAGUCAGAGGUUCGAA